rnacentral:tRNA from 1 species
GUUAUAGUAGUGAUUAUUAGACACGUUACCUUUUCGAGGUAAAAAGGAGCAUUUACUGCUUCUAUAAUA